ensembl:lncRNA
UGUUGACUGAAGUGCUUUCAGUCUUCAGUCUGGUUUUACAGCACAUUCAAAAUAUACUAAAGUCCAAAGAAACGCCUCCAUGAAGAAGCAGGACUGGCACAUAAUAAGUGUAAAGCUGAAUAUAUAUUGUAGCUGAUGCUGAAAUGUUUGUGUUGGUUGCCAUGACAACACCAGUAGCGCAUCUGAGAUCGUUAUGUUGUUUUCUCGUUGUUUUCUUUAUUUGGUAUUGAUGUUUGUGUACAUUUGCAGUAGGAAAAAGAUAACCUGUGAAUCCAGUGAUACACCUUUCUUAUAAGAAAUGUUUCUGAUAAAAUUAUUGUGAAGUAGUCACUUCCUGUGAGUCGCGGGAACCGGAAGUUGUGCGCGGGAGAGACAAGACAGAGCGGUAACACGGCGGACUUUUCGGAAUAUACAUCUUUUCUACUGCUGGUUUAUGAGGUGUACACGUUUUCACGGUGCUCCAUGAUUGUGAGCAGAAUAAAAGUAUUGUGGACAUCAGUACGAAGCGUGGAUUCUUUCGACCAGAGUAGAUACAGUGAAAACGUGUCCCAAUCCAUCUGGAGGCUUCGGUGUGCAAAGCUCUUCUCAUCCUGCAGCAAGCUACAGGUCUCGGUUUACAACGCGCUUCUCAUCCUGCAGCAAGCUACAGGUCUUGGUUGCUUCUCAUCCUGCAGUGAGCUACAGGCUUCAGUGGACACUUGCUUUGCAUUUUGUAACAACCAAUCAGGAGCUGCAGAUUCAGCGGACGCUCCAAGAAGCGGUUUCAAGAAGCGUGAGUCCUCAUUACGCAGUUAUUAUGCCUCCUGUGUUGAUGGAUAGAACAUGAGCUGCAAAUUUGCUAUAAUGGACAAGAAAUUAAUAGUGUUCAAAUUUCAGACUGUGUAAAAAAAAAAAAAAAAAAAAAAAAAAAGUUCUGAAAAUUAUUGUUGUUUUCUUACCUAUUGUUUGCAAGCUUUAAAAAGGCUGAAACUGAAGUUUUAUUUGCUGUCAUACGUAAGAAUCUAAGCUAAGGUGCCUUUGUGUUAAUUUUAAUAAUUG